UUAAGUGCCCAGUUUCCAUUUAAAGCAACAAGAAACUAGAGAUACACUCAGACUUAAGAUUACUUCCUUUUUAUUUCCCUCUUCCUUUCUUGGUGUGAAAAUCUUACAGUGCAAAUGAGUUUUUGUGGCUUUUACACAAAUUGGAAUAUUUUUAAAUUUUUGGAUGCCUGAAUGUAUGUUAACUUACAAAACCCCUUAGAAACAAAUUGCACAAGGAAGGUCUGGUAUUCCAGUGAGUGAGUUGUAACUCGAGACAAGCACUCAGUUCCUCGGAUCAGCUGACUGAAGCCGGCUCGGCCAGAGCAGGGAGGGAAAUCUCGAAGCUACAGAGAUCCUUGGCUCAGAUUCCUGCCAGGAUGUGGGCAUUUGGUUUUUCCUUACAAUUUUGACUCUGGCUCCGCACUCAUUGAGGAUAUCUAUACUACUGUGGCAGAAAGGAAGGAGGUCUCAUCAGCUCAGCUGUCAUUUCCUCCUGUCUGAUCAAGAUUCACAGACUGGAUGUGGGUUAAGCAGACUCUUCUGAACAUCAGUGGACAGAACAGCAUCUAAACUCUUUGGUGGAACCAGCCUUUAAUUUCUCAGUGUUUCAACCUCAGCUGCAAAGCAGAAAAAAAAAAAAAAAACAGUGUUUGGAUAUAGACUACAUUGACUGUAAAUUCUUACAGACGGUUCAUUAAAUGUGUUUGCUUGGGAUUCUACUUUUUACUCUGUUACAUCACUCUCUCUUAUGGGAUUUUUUUCCUUCUGCAUAAAUAUUUAAAUACCAGUUUGGGACAGAAGUCUCAGGCCACAGGGACAAUGCUAUCUCAUGUGCUGAAAGGUGCUGAACACAAUUUGUAUUUAAAAAUAAUACCAAAUCUUCCAUGUAGAACAGAAAUCUGAAUUGUUAUGGCACCAGGACAUAGACAGCUGUGAGUAUAUCCACAAAAGGAAACAAAAGACUUGAUGGGUUGGUUUGUUUGGUUGAUUUUUAAUCAAUAGAAAAAUAUAUAGUGACUUCAAAGGCUUAGUAAACAUCUGUAUGGAUUGCUAUGAUUUCUGUUUGGUCUAACAUAGCCAAGAUGUUUUUAUAAAUUUAUGUUUUAUAAAUUUACAUGGUUAAAUAUUCUGUGCACUGAAAUUUGUGGUCUAAUAAACUAAAAUGUUUUAUAAAAUUCUCACAAUCAGUAACUCCUUCAAAUAACAAAAAAGCUGGGUACCUAAUAGCAGAAAACAAAAUACUUGUCACAUAUGAUUAAAAAGUGAUGAAAACUGUGGAAUUAUUUUCCUGAAACUUGACUCUCCUUUGAGAGAAUAAUUUUAAGCAAACAAUUGCAUCUUUUGAAAGUUGAUGGAGUUUUUUUCUUCUUCCUGUGUGCAUUUCAUUAAUGAUUAGAAUAUUAGCCAGCAUACUUGAACAUGCUUAACUAUUCAAAUGUGGAAGGCAUAUUUAGAUAAAAUCAUGGAAUCUGUAACAAAUAACAUAAAGUGAAAUCUGCUGUAGUUGCAGUUAAUAGGGAUUUUGAGGAAGUUCCAACCAAAAACAGCCAUGCUCUGUAUCUGUAUCCCCCCAUCAUCACUUUUGCUUUUACAUACAUGGAUUACAUUUUUGUACCUUGAUGACUUACACAUUUUAACUAAAUUUGAUUUCACAGGAGUGUUUACACCAAGGGAACAUGAACAUUUAAAAUUCCAGGUUAUCUCUAAAUCAUCAAUGUCAGGAGAACUGUGAGAGUUUUGUGCAUUACUCAACUUUAUGUAAAAUGGCCAACUAAUGACAAUGUUUAAUUCUGAACUCUAUGUUCCAUUAGAUUUAUCGAGUUCUCUCAGUUCUGAGCCAGAAGCACAGAUAUGACUUUGUAAAAAAUUUAUACAACAUAACAUUUUAUCAUUUUGUUAAUUUCUUCAGGAUAAUAUAGAUGUCUUAACACAGGCUGCAGUGCUUCAAAAUCUUAGACUAUUUUUGGUUUAGUAAUUUUAGAAGGCAUUAUGCUUUUAUGAAAUAUAUUUGUAACCUGAUAUCCAAAAAUGACAGACCUGGCCUCAUCGGUCAAUUUAAACAUAAUAUCAAAAUGAUGUCUCUGAAAUGACUUCUCUGAAAUAUUAAAGCACAGAAAUGUUAACAGUAACAUUCAUUCUUUCUAUUGUGAACACCUCUGGACCUAAUUUGCAAAGAAUCACACAAUCUGGAUUUACCUUUGAAAAAGAAUGCAAGAGCCAGAUUGUUGCUUUUUGUGGUAAGGAAGAAGAUACACAUUAUUCUUGGUAGUGGAAGAAUAAAUGAAGCCAUCAAAUUCUCACUGAUGUGAACUGAGACUGAUUAUGCCUAGGAUAUAAAGAGAAGACUUGCAGAGAAAUGGAAUUUCACAAAAUUAUGUUAUUUCUGCAAAAGAGGGGAAAAAUGUCAUAAAAACUUUGACUGACAUGUACCUCAGGGACUGGUAGUAGCAAGAGAAUUUCAGGAUGUUUCAUAUUCAGACACAGAGAGAUUACUUUUCUCAAAUAACAGACUCUUCUUACAUAACUCAACAAAUAACAUUUUAAGAUUCUUGCUGAUGCAGUCAAAAAAUGGAAUUUUAAACUAGAAAGUGGUCAGUGAAGUCCUGAAAAUUCUGAUAUAUGUGGUGACAUGAAAAACAGAUAUAUAAGAAUGGGGAGAAGAAAAACUGAAUGAUAGGAACAAAUAAACAAACAACGAAAACACACAAAACAAGAUGAGGUAAAUAUUAGGCAUAGUAUUUCAGAAUAUGGAUUGCAGUUGUUCUGAUUGGUAACUGUGUUCAGUUCAAACAACUAAAAUAUCUAACUAAUAAGACAUCCAGAUUGGACAGUAAAUGAAAGGAAUAAAGAUUUUCAUUUAAGACAAAAAGAAAGGCCAAAAAAUGGAGAAUGAAAAGAAGCAAACAAAAAAAUUAACAUAUUAAUUGACUAUCUUUUUUCUUCAUAGUUAAGAAACAGUAUCCCUGGAGGUAGAAGUCACCCUGAAGAGAUAUGUUUAGGAACUAUACAAAUGGGAUCUUCCUCUAGUCCCCAGACUUGGAUUGCAGCAGUGAUCUCUGUAAAAGUAUGGAAGAAAGAAGCAAGAAUAGGAAGUACCUGAUUACUGGAGACAUUAAUUUUCUGACAUUAAUUUGACAAGAAAUGCCUCCAUAGGCAUCAGUAGGUCUUAAAUAUUCUUGAAUGCAUCAGUUGAUAAAUUUAUGUACAAAACAGUCUAUGAAGUAAAAAUAUGCUAGUGCUAUUUCGAAGUUACUCUAAGUAAACAGCAGGGAGGAACAGUCAGGGGCUAGUUGUAAAAAAUAAGCUUAGAUCAAGUAAUCAUGAGCUGAUUCUGCUCAUUUGAAACUGCAAGACAAACAAAAAUGAAUACAAAGCUAAGUUCUGGCAUUUUAGCAGAGAGAACUUUGAAAAACUAAGAAUUAGUUACCAGGGCUGACUGAGCAAAGAGCUCAAUGAUUUGAACAUAGCGGAAGCAUGGAAUUAUUUGAAGUCAAAAGUGCAAACACUAUUUGAAGCUUGCAUUGCAAGCAAGAGAAAAAAAAUCUUAGCAGGAAAGGGCUACAGAAGGAACACCUCACAUAGGAUAUUAAGAGUAAAUAAAGAACCUAAAAGGAAUAGAAAAAAAGGAUUGAUCAGCAAGGAGAGUUAUAUCUCAGAGGUCAGAAAGGGUGGAAAUAAAAUGAGAAUGGACAAAAGCCUAGUUGAGCUGAAACUUGGAAAGAAAAUUAGAACAAGUAACAGAAGUUCUUCAACGACAUAAAUAAAAAACAGUAAGAAAAGAGAAAACUAAGACAGCUGCACAUAGAAAUGUUGAGAAGGGAGCUAAUCUAAAUAUGGCAGCAACACCAAUACUCUAUUUUUCAAAAAAGAUUGUAAAGAAUAUGACAGCAAUUGCUGAUCAGUCAGUAAGAAUGAAAGUGAUGUAAAUCCAAUGUAGAAACAAACUUGAAAUGAUUACAUUGACCAGAUGAGGUAUUCUAUAAGCUCUGAAGCCCAAAUAUGCAAAGAAUGUGUAGAUAAAACUGAAAAAUUACUUCAACUGACUUGAUUACAGUAAAUACUUGUAAAAUUCGAUACCUGUAGUCAGAAAGAUAGUUAGCAAGGAAAUUAAUGGUACACAACUAUGAAACAGAUGAAAUAAUAACUUGUGAAUCAUAAGAAGUUAACUGUGCAGGAAGUAACUGGAAAAAUGCAAUGUGAUAUAAAAUGUCUUUCCAGAUUUGUCCAAGAUUCUAAUACUCUGGUAGAAUUGCACCAUCUAGUUCACAGUUUCAUAAUUUGAGUAUGUUUUGUAGAUCUACUAUAGGAAAAUUUGUAGAUCUACACAAAGAAUGUCAUUGUUUUGGAAAAAAAAAAAAAAAGCAACCAUGGCAAGCAUGUUUUUCAACCUCUUAUAGUUUGUGAGUUCAUAUAGAGCAAUGGUGAUUUUUAGAUGUGGCCAUAUGUUUAACUUCUAUGAAGGAAUAUGGUACAGUAUAUGAUUUAUUUCACAUAAGCAAGGCAUUAUGUUUAAUCUUAGAUUCUGAGAGCUGGCCUGGCUCUUGCAGGCAUUUAAGACAUGUAAUAGUUCCACUCAUGUGGGAUAGUGGUAUAUAGGCUUAUGACACCUCCUGUGAUCAAGUUGUUGGUUUAUAGUUAGAUGUUGUGUAGUUAGAAAAUACACCUACCUGAGACAAAGAUGUCUUCUUAUAAAUCAGGAAGGGUUAGAAUACCAUGACUAUGUGUAACAGCUCUUGCUGAGUUUCCUCCUUUUGUGGCUCAGGAGAAGCAUUGGAGAAGUACUUGUGUUAUUUUUUCUGGAAACUUUCAGAGAAAUAAUUUCAUUUUAUAUUAGAGUUCCAAGACAAAGAAAGGUUUAGGGUUUCCAUAAGUUCCUUGGAGUGAAUCAUGUCACAGAGAACUCCCUGGUAGACUCUCUGCUGCCCAGGUUUACUAUAGUUUUUCUUUUGCUUUUUGGUUUAAUCACUAUUUGGUGGAACUCUCCUAAGAUUUUAUAGAUUUUCUUUUCAAGAAAAAAAAGACUGUGAUUGUUAUUGGUGGGGUUUUUUUGAUUCACUGUUGGUGUUUGGAGCAGUGUCUAUGCUCACAGUUCAUUCACUAUGGGACAUCCAACCUGAUUUUCGCUGCUGUUAUUGCUACUUUUUAUAUUUUCAUGGAAAGCUACAAAGAAUUAGUAUGCAAUAGGGAGGAAAAACUAACAAAGGAUAUCAAAGUAAACACUUAUCUGUGACAAAUCAACAGGAAGAAAGUCUUAGAACUCUCACUGGUCCCUCUUGGAGAGGACUCCCAUUUCCUGGAAGUCAGAACUCAACAUUUGCUGUCAGCAUCUUGCACUGGCUGCUAAGCCCAUUCUGCUUCAGUUCUCAGCUGGAGGGCUGCACAUCCUACUGAGCUAGCAAGAAGCAAGUUGAAGUAUAUCAAACCAGAAGUUUGCACUUUCCUUACUGGAAAGGAAUUAGAGCAACCAACCAACCAGAACUAGGCAGUAUCUCUGCAUGGUCCCUUAACCCCGUGUGCUACCUUCAGUCGCUCUGUUCCUUCACUAUUCCUCUUCCCUCAGAAGUGAUAAAGAAAUGAAUCCUUUCAGAAUAUUUUACCCAUUAUAACAGGCUUGUUUGUUUGCUUGUUUGUUUGGUUUUGGUGUUUUUGUUUUUGUUUUUGUUUUUUCCCCAGAAGUGUCUGUAUCUAGCAAAUCCUGUUCAACAUAAGAGAUUCUACAGAUAAUAGGUAGAUUAAUAAAAUCUUCAGAAGCCCAACAUGUGAUUUUCAUUUUCCUCUCAGACACUGAGAAUGUCACAUCCCAAGAUGACAAGUCUUUAUCACAAACUUUAUGUAUGCAUUGGGGUGCAUGGGAAGAACAGAAAUUAUGAAAUCGUCAUAGCUUCCUGAUAGUAUUGAUCACAGUGAUAAUAUUAUAUUUAGGUUUGUGUUACUGGCUUUGUUUACCUUUACUGUGGCAACUGUGUUUAAUGAAAACAUCCUUUCUAGCAUGAGGCACUGUUGUUCAAGUUUUAAUGAAAGGCAAAUUUUGUAGUGCUCUGUAUGUUAAAGAAGAUUAUGGCAGCAACUUGUUUCUUCGUCAUUAUCAGUACACCUUUCUGUGAUUCUGCCUUUAAAUUGAAAACGUUGCACUUCACACUGCUUCUCUAUAGAGAAAAACCUUUCAAGGGGACUUCACUGCGCACCAUGAAAACACCAUAAUGGCAGUUGCAGCUUGGACUGUACUGCUAGCUUGAGCAGCAAAAUUAAGUAUGAUGUCCAGAUUUGGUGUACUAUCUGGUUAAGAGGAAAGAUGAGAGUCUGUUUUGAGGUUGGAUAUCUUUGAAUAGUAGAUCUUCUUUGAAUCUAUACCUUGUGCUGAAGUGGAAAGAAGGAAGAUUAGAUUGGGGGACUGAUAUUUUUAGUGACAUUUAAAAAAUAAAGCUUUGAUUCAUUUCACAAAAAUGUUUGAGCCAAGGAUCAAAGAUAUACAGAAGUAGAUACGAUACCUUGUACUUCCUGGAGGAGGUUUAGUGGAUGACUUUGCUUUUACCUGUUCUCCAGGAGUCCACUGAGUAAAUAACAAUGAUCUAAGAAGAUUUUUUUCAUCCAAAAAGAAACACUAGAUAUGCUGUUCAUUCAUCACUGCCUCUAAAUGCCUACAGAGAAGGUAGACAACACCUCUCUGCUACACUCCUUCUCCUCCUCAGUAUUAACUACAAUGUGCAAAACAAAGAAAUGACAACUUUGUCUAACUCAUUCUGCUAGUAGUGAUCAAUUUUAAUUUCUUUCUCUUUCUAUACUGGUGUGAAACACCUUAAGGUUUUCAAUAAGGUUUUCAGGACCAAAAAUAAAUGUGUGUCUGCUUUGAAGUUUUAGAUGGUCUAAUGUAUGUCUAGCUGCAGUUUUCUGUCAUUGUCAUCAUAUACUUUAGUCAAUCCAUUUCUUUUUUGAUAGAAGGUAAUCUCCACUCUCUAAUGAAAUGUCAAACUUGAAUACAAGCUUAAUCUGAAAAAUAUUUCGACAUAUUAAGUCUUGUAAUUCCCUCAGAAGUCCAUAUUUUCAAGCUAAUUUGACUAUGUCAAAAGUGUGUUUGAAGCAAACCAUACAAUUGUUCAUUACAAUUUAUGUACCUUUGAUUAUUUGUUUAUUCACCUAUAAUCACAUUUUGUUGUAUCAUUUAUUUUUGGUCUGUUUGUUUCUAGCUUUAAUUUUUGGUUUAAUUAUCUUUAAUGUGGUUUCUUAUACCUGACACACCACUGAACCCUAACAGUGUAUACUUUUCAGUUAAUUUUAUAGAUUUAUGUUUCUUAGACAUGUAGAGUGAACUUUAGAGCUGAAGUAAGUAGCCCAGCAUCUUCCACUUUAUCCUUAGGUAAGGAUGUGUGCUUUGGGCAUGAGGAGAGGGGAAAGUCCUGUAAAACUGGAAAACUAAUCAAUGGCCUAAACUGGCCACAAUAACAUUCACCGUGGCAGUUUAAGCUAAUAGAGUCUUGACAUUUCUUUACAUACAUUCAGUAUAUUUCAAUAAAGUGUGGGUAGGUAUUGUCCUCAGAGUAUUAAUUCAGUUCAGUGUCUUUUAGAGUAUUUUUUUUAAGACUGGAAACACAGAGGACAGGGGAAAUCUUUGUCACCCAAAUUCACCCUAUCUGAUCACACAGAGAAAAAUGUUGGAAUAAGUCCACUCAGAUUUCUAUUAAAGUGAAAAUAUUGUCCAAGAUCAUCUAAGGAGUCACCCGUAAAAUAAUUCCUUUGUUAAUCCCUUGCUUCUCAUCAAUGCUUCUAGAAAACGGGGACUUUGUUGCAAGCUGUUUAUAAAGUAUCCUAGAAUAUAUCUGUAUAGCUUCCCCAAAUAUUAAUUGAUUACCAGGGAGUUAACCAAUGGCAUUUUAGCCAACUGUAAUUAUUUAUUAACUUAUUCAUAUAAUAUUUUAGAGACUUGUUGGAUUUAUUCAAUGAACUCUAUUAGUAAAGUACUAAUAACUUAGCACAUUUAGUAGAAAAUAGAAGGCAUUAUUAACACAGAGUAAAGAGA